GCUAUAAAGUAAUCAAUAUUCAACCAAACCUAGGUAUGAAAAAAUUCUCCUAGGUAGCACAUCGUCCUUUUAAUGGAUUUUACGCGGCACGAAUCUGAAUUAGUCGUGUCUCAUACCGAACAUCGUGUGGAAAACCAAAACAAGUAAUUCAACCAACAAGCUAAAGUAGAGUAGUUGAGCAAUAUAAUUAAUUCUAUCUUUAUGUUAUAUGUGCAACUUGCAAGUCACUCAUUUUCAUUUCUUUCUGAUAUAAUUCGGAGUACUAGAUACUGUAACAUUUGAACAUGUUAAAACAUGCUUUUAUCGUCAUGAUGUUUUCCCUCUAAAUAAGCUAUUCUGGGGUAGGCGUAUUACCUCAGCAUUGUUGGUUGACCUUCAUAUGUAAUUAUCCCGACCCAUAUUUCCUAUUUGUAACAAAUUUGUUUUAAAAAUGAUUUAAUAUAGUACUCUUGCCAUCCCAAUUUAUGUGGAACCUUUCGAAUUUUGAGAUUCAAACAAAUCGUUCUUUGAUCGCAAUUUUUUCAUAUAUAGUUUUUAAAUAUUUUAAUUGUCAAUUAUUGUGACUUACAUAUUUUUUAAAUAGUUUCCCCAUGUGUAAAUUUUAUUUCAAAAAACUUGAAGAUUUCAUGCCCAAAUUCACGAACAAAAUUAAACUAUUUGAUUUUCGAAAUCCUAACUGAGCCACAUAAAUUGGACAGAGGGAGUAAUAAUUAGGUAAAAAAUUUCAAACAAAGAGGCCCGUGGAUUUAAAACCAUAUCACCUAUAUUUUGGGAAAGUGCAGAAAUAGCUAUUUUAGGAUUCCGUUUUAUAGAAUAACUGAAAUUUAUAAAGUUUUCAAAAUUUAGUCGCCUCAUAAUUAUCUCCGGACCGUCAGAUCUGAAGUUGAAAUUGGGGGUUUGAAAUUUACUGCAGACCUUUGUGUUUGAAGUUAGUCUCUACCAAUGCCUAACUUCAGAAUGCAAUACAAAUUAAUAAGAUUGAAAGUCUGAAUUGUGGCCUUGGUAGCCUAACUUCAGACUUGACAGUCUGUGUAGCAUUCCUGAAAAUUUUGUAAAUAUUUAAUACUUUAUGACGCACUAAAGAAUAUUUAAUUUAUCAUUUUGUAUGUCAAGGACGUUGCUAGAUGUGAGUUCGUUGUUUGAAGAUUUUGGAUUAAUCAUAAUUUGGAACUGUCAGAGCGACCAUUUAGCUAUUAAGGCCGACUUGAGCUGAAAAGACGAUAAGGGAAAAUAUUAAUGAGGGAGAUUCCUUGUUUGUCAAUAAUAUAAACAAGGAUAUGAUGUCGAUGAGUUCACCGUAGUCGACAGUGGACUAACCGCCAAAGUCAAUCUACAGAACAAAACAUGUUCUUGUGAAAGUAUGACUUGGUGAAAUUACUGUGUGCUCACGCGAGGGCAGCAUUGAGAUUGAAGUACGAUGUUGAUUAUGGUUCAAGCAUCUACGAGUAUUGUUCGCCUAUGGGAAAUGCCAGAGAAGUAUACAAACAUGUUCAUUCUCCACCCCUGUACAAGCCCAAACUUGGAAGAAAGAGAAUUAAGUGUAUUCAUGACAUCACGGAAACUUUCAAGCCCAAGGUACGUAGCAAAGGGAAGAGAAACAAGUGCUCGAUUUGCAAGGGGGAUGGUCACAAGAAAACAACGUGUCGAUAUUUGAGAGAGGAUCUCACUUGAUAUCUUUAAAUUUUAAUGUAUUUUUAUUGUAAUAGUUCUGAAAACUGAAUGCAAGAUCAAUAUUAAUCAACUUUGUAUCAGUUUAUACUCUAAGUGAAUUUAUAAUAGAAUUUCAGUUGGUCUA